GGGGGUCUGAAAGAAAUAAAACAAAUCAAGGAAAUCAUAUUAGGAGCCUUGAUGAAAUUCUUCUCUUAUCAGCUCCAUCUUACUGAGUAUUGUGAAGUUAUGACAAGGCGCAAGAAGCUAAAGAGGAGCACCCAACAGAAACUGCAGCGAUGCUUCACACGCUUCAGGAAGCAGCCAGAAUGGAAUGUCACAAGGUCAUUUUGGAGACAGACGCAAGUACGCUUAAGCAAGCGAUGACUAGCAAUGACUAUGAUAAUUCAAGUUUGGGUGUUUUGUUAAGAGAAAUGAAGGCUUUAAUUCAGUACUCUUUUCAACGUUGUAAGAUAGAAGUUUGUCCAAGAGCUUGUAAUGUAUCAGCACAUUGUCUAGCAGCGUUUGGCAUGUGUAUGGAACAGGGAAGCUAUCAUGUAUGGCUUGACCCAUUCCCUGAUCAUGUAAAAGACUUGGUUGCUGGCGUAUGUCCAGCUCGUUUAAGUUAAUGGAAUGCAGUCUGUGUUCCUUUCAAAAAAAAAA